AUACGGAGGGUGCAAGCGUUAAUCGGAUUUACUGGGCGUAAAGGGUACGUAGGCGGUUGAGUAAGUCGAAUGUGAAAGCCCCGGGCUUAACCUGGGAACUGCAUCCGAAACUGCUCGGCUAGAGUAUAGUAGAGGGAAGUGGAAUUCCGGGUGUAGCGGUGAAAUGCGUAGAUAUCCGGAGGAACACCAGUGGCGAAGGCGGCUUCCUGGACUAAUACUGACACUGAGGUACGAAAGCGUGGGGAGCAAACAGGAUUAGAAACCCCGGUAGUCC
rnacentral:rRNA from 1 species